UACAGAGGUCUCAAGCGUUGUUCGGAUUCAUUGGGCGUAAAGGGUGCGUAGGCGGCGCGGUAAGUCGGAUGUGAAAUCUCGGGGCUUAACUCCGAAACUGCAUUCGAUACUGCCGUGCUUGAGGACUGGAGAGGAGACUGGAAUUUACGGUGUAGCGGUGAAAUGCGUAGAUAUCGUAAGGAAGACCAGUGGCGAAGGCGGGUCUCUGGACAGUUCCUGACGCUGAGGCACGAAGGCCAGGGGAGCAAACAGG
rnacentral:rRNA from 1 species